rnacentral:rRNA from 1 species
UUGGAGGGCAAGUCUGGUGCCAGCAGCCGCGGUAAUUCCAGCUCCAAUAGCGUAUAUUAAAGUUGUUGCAGUUAAAAAGCUCGUAGUUGAAUUUCGGGGUCAGUAGGUUGGUCAUGCCACUGGUAUGUACUGGUCUCACUGAUUCCUCCUUCCUGAUGAGCUGUAAUGCCAUUAAUUUGGUGUUGCGGGGAAUCUGGACUGUUACUUUGAAAAAAUUAGAGUGUUUAAAGCAGGCUAACGCCUGAAUACAUUAGCAUGGAAUAAUGAAAUAGGACGUUCGAUCCUAUUUUGUUGGUUUCUAGGAUUGACGUAAUGAUUAAUAGGGAUAGUUGGGGGCAUUAGUAUUCAAUUGUCAGAGGUGAAAUUCUUGGAUUUAUUGAAGACUAACUACUGCGAAAGCAUUUGCCAAGGAUGUUUUCAUUAAUCAAGAACGAAAGUUAGGGGAUCGAAGACGAUCAGAUACCGUCGUAGUCUUAACCAUAAACUAUGCCGACUAGGGAUCGGAUGAUGUUAAUUUUUUAAUGUACUC